CUUCCCAGCGGAUCAUACUGCAGCCACGAAACGCAGCUUGCUUUUCCACCAAUGGGAUACGCACAGUCGCCUGGACAUGUUAGCCAGUGUUCGCUAUCAACCGAAACGCCAGAGACCGUCAUACUGCGGGUAACGCUCAGACGAGGGGCUGCACGAUUGCUGCUGGGUCUGCGUGUCGCCUAUUCGCGCCAUGUGAGGUAUUUUCCAAGUUGCUUAGGCUGGAUGGAAUCGAAGCGGCUAUUGUUCCUAGAGCGUCGUGAAAGAAUGCCAGUGCUGUAAGCUGGUGUGUCUUCUGCUCACAGAUGUCGAAGGUAACGUGCGGUGCCAGUGCCGGACCGGCGGAAUUGAAUUUGGGCUGCACGCACGGAGACCGACUGCAUAUGACGAAGGUUGCCCCGAGCAGCUCACCACGUGGACACCGACACACGGGCAGCCGGUGCUGCCAGUGCGCGCAAGGAGCUGUGAUCCCAGUCACACACGCUGGUACCGUGGACUGACCUUACUAGCUGAUGCCAUGGACCAGUGUAGCCAUUCCUACCUCACGGUACCCUGCCCUCCCCUCCGCCCUCGGAAGUGCAGAUGCGAUCGCCUACGUGGCUGCGGAUGCCGUGGCCGCCGGCAACUCAGCGCAUGUGCAAGCAGAAGGCAUUUGAACGGGGCAAAUUCGCAAUGUUAAGGCGAUUCAGCAGACAUGUGCUAAAAUUGACGGCGGUCAAUCACAGUGGCAAGGAGCAGUCCGCUACUGGACAGCGAGCAGACGGCAGCGACGAUAUGGCGAGUUGCUGCCUUCUAUGGUGACCAAGGUGCCUCCUUCCACAGGCCCGUUGAGAGGGUGGAUCUACGCGGGAGGAGCUUCUGUGUCAGGCGGCCACGAGCCCUGGCGUGUUUCCCGUAAUUACUGCAGGGCCAAAGGGGCGAAAAAAGCUGCCGCCAAUCGAAGCGCUCGGCGUCGUCCCGGACACAAAUAACGCGCUAAUGCUCGCCACCUCGAGCGCGGCAGCUGCAGAAGCGAACCUUCGCCGGCGCCCGCGGCAUUUACUGUGCUGCUCAUCAGCGCGCAACCUGCAUUUACAGCAGGGCUAAGUGUGCCUGCAGCUGGCAACGUCCCAAAUUGAAAACUGUCGCAGCAGCGAAAGCAAGCACAAUCCUCCUUCGGUGAUGCAUACCGUGCUCUCCGUGCAGAUGACUUUGUUGUCCCGGAGCCGAGCAAACACCCGCUCCCUGGCGCCUUCAAUUUCGACGACGCAUUGAAAUCC